rnacentral:rRNA from 1 species
AACUAAAAAGCUAGUCCAACCCACCCCUAAAAAGAUAUAUUUAACUAAAGAUUUAAUAAACUUAAAAAUUUAUAGUAAACCAUUUUUCCACCUUAGUAUGGGAGACAGAAAAGGACCUAGGAACUAUAGAAAAAGUACCGCAAGGGAAAGCUGAAAGAGCAAUGAAACAAGUCAGUAAAGUUAGAAGAAGCAGAGACUUAACCUCGUACCUUUUGCAUCAUGAAUUAGCUAGUCAUUCCAAGCAAAGUGAACUAUAGUUUGGUGCCCCGAAACUUAAUGAGCUACUUCGAGACAGCCUUUUAGGGCAAACCCGUCUCUGUGGCAAAAGAGUGGGAAGAUCUCCAAGUAGAGGUGACAAACCUAUCGAAUUAAGUUAUAGCUGGUAGCUCAUGAAAUGAAUAGAAGUUCAGCCUUUAAACUCCUAAAGACACCUUGAGAAUUUCUUAAUAUUAUCUAAUAGGAAUCUAAAGAGUUAGUCAAAGAGGGUACAGCCUAUUUGACCAAAGAUACAACUUUUCUAGGAGGAUAAAGAUCAUAUUAUUCCAAGACUAAGUGCUUAGGUGGGCCUAAAAGCAGCCACCCUUAAUAAUAGCGUUAAAGCUUAAGCAUAAUUGAAGUCCAUAAUUUAGAUAAAUAAUCUUAAGCCCCUAAAAUUAAUGAGCCAUUUCAUUCUAUUGAAAGAGAUUAUGCUAGUAUGAGUAAUAAGAGGUCAUGAGCCUCUCCCCGCACGAGUGUACAUCGAAACGAACUAAUCGUCGAACAUUAACGGUCCCAAACAAAGAGGGUCCAGCCGAAUGUAACCGCUAACAAGAAAAUUCCGGCAUAAAUACCGUUACCCCCACACAGGAGUGCUAACUAGGAAAGAUAAAAAGGAGGAAAAGGAACUCGGCAAAUAUUUUAAACCUCGCCUGUUUACCAAAAACAUCGCCUCUUGUAAGAUAUAGAUAAGAGGUACCGCCUGCCCUGUGACAAACGUUUAACGGCCGCGGCAUUUUGACCGUGCAAAGGUAGCGCAAUCACUUGCCUUUUAAAUGAAGGCCUGUAUGAAUGGCAUAACGAGGGCUUAACUGUCUCUUUCUCCCUAUCAAUGAAAUUGAUCUCCCCGUGCAGAAGCGGGGAUACUGACAUAAGACGAGAAGACCCUGUGGAGCUUUAGACCAAAAGUAGACCAUGUUAAAGAUAUAAGAAAAAUUCAUCAAACGAAUUGGGCUCUACUCUAGUGUCUUUGGUUGGGGCGACCGCGGGGUAAUGAUUAACCCCCAUGAGGAUUGAGAAUAUGAUUUUUAAAUCUAAGAAUUUCCAUUCCAAGAAACAGAAUAUCUGACCUUUUUGAUCCGGACCUUCCGAUCAACGAACCUAGUUACCCCAGGGAUAACAGCGCAAUCCUCUUUUAGAGCCCAUAUCGACAAGGGGGUUUACGACCUCGAUGUUGGAUCAGGACAUCCUAAUGGUGCAGCCGCUAUUAAGGGUUUGUUUGUUCAACAAUUAAAGUCCUACGUGAUCUGAGUUCAGACCGGAGUAAUCCAGGUCAGUUUCUAUCUAUGAAGUUCCCCCUUCUAGUACGAAAGGACCGAAGGGGGAGGGCCUCUAUUAUUAUGCCCUCAUCCCACCUAAUGAAGAAAGCUAAAUUAAGGUAAAAGAUUACAACCUGUAAUCAUAGAACAUGAUAU